GUGCGAGCGCCCGGUAAUACCGGCAGCGCAAGUGAUGGCCGAUAUUAUUGGGCCUAAAGCGUCCGUAGCCGGCCGGACAAGUCCGUCGGGAAAUCCACGUGCUUAACACGUGGGCGACCGGCGGAAACUGUUCGGCUUGGGGCCGGAGGACCCGAGGGGUACGUCCGGGGUAGGAGUGAAAUCCUGUAAUCCUGGACGGACCGCCGGUGGCGAAAGCGCCUCGGGAAGACGGACCCGACAGUGAGGGACGAAAGCUGGGAUCUCGAACCGGAUUAGAUACCCCAGUAGUCC
rnacentral:rRNA from 1 species